CGUCAAUUUGUUUGAAUCUAUUUGUUGUUUCAGGGCUAAAAAAAAAAAAAAGUGCAAUAAAGCUGUCACAUGUUAAUUUUUUCCCACAAAAAAAGGCAACAACAAAACAGUUAACGUUCUCACAUCAACUUUCUUUACGCCAUUGUAUGUAAUUGAAAUGUUUACUUUUCGUCCAAUGAGUUUCUUACUAAGUGACAUGCGUAUGCAUUCUGGACUUGGACAGAAAGAAGACCCCGGCAACACUGUUAUCCAGGGGAGCAUCUGUGGGUUCCCACCCAAGAUUACGUGUAUGUGUCGGCACAGUGAUUCAUCCCACAGCUGCCCCCCAACUGGCUGCAGCUCUUCAGUCGCUGCACAGCCCCCACAGCAAGAGGCCAGGCCAGGAGCACAGCUGGCCAGACUUGGUGGAGCCAGUCGACAGGCGCAUGGAGCGCAGCCCGCCCAGGGCCCGCUUCCUCCACAAACAUGCCCAGGUGUGGGGCCUCCGAGCUGGGCUUCUGAUCUCUAAACAGCACAGUGUGUGUGUGCGCACGUGUGUGUGAGUACGUGUUGUAGGCAGGGACGAUAUAGGAUGAGGGAUCAAGAAGGCAAAGGGGGAUAUGGUGUGAUUGUGCGGGGAUGGUGGGGGCAUCCCUGCCGAAGCUGUGUCAACAUUGUGUGUUAAUGUGUUUGAGUAUGUGCAUCUGUAUCUGCAUGUGUUUGCAUUUCGGGAAGCGGGGGUCACCCUUGGGGUAGACAGUGGGCAACAACAAUUACCGCAGAACUGAAGCUGAAUCGUCUCAAUUGUUCAUGCUGUGGCCUUCUUACACAAUUACAGUACAAAAAUACUUUGGCUAUAGGCAAUAAGUGAGCACAUAUCUCAAAAUUCAUAGGAAUCACAUCAGACAAUUGUUCAUGCUGAGCUAGGGCUUUAAAUAAAACCACUAGUCAACAUAUCCAAUUCAGUGCUCUAUUAUUAAUCACUUUGUAAAUCACUACUUCAACAGAACAAAUCCAUGUAACUGUACAACACAGUACUGCCUUAUAUGAUAUGUGACCCUCACUGGCCUUUCCACUUGGUUACAACUAAUGGCAAGCACACUUUGGCCUGGUUGUCCUCCAAAAAAAGCAUUUGUGAAUUCCGAGACACUUUCAAAUUCCCUCAAAUGCACACAGGCCAUGAGUACACGGUGCACCAGAUGAAACAUGGUGUUACAGGAGGCGUUUGCACUGGGGUCACAUCAGAUAAGACAAGGCCAGACGGCCUAGAUAAGCUCUUUGAACGGCUCUAUCUGCGGAGUCAGCGCUCGCAAGUUUCUCCCCUGCAGCCGUUUCACAUGAUGACUGCUAGCCAAGCCACUGAUGCCGGUUUGUUUGCAGCCUAGCACUGCUACUAAUUAACUGGAGGAACCCAAGGCCUUCUGACUGACUGCCUUGUCUAUUGCAAUCCCCCCACUCAGGAUUGCUCAUGCAUGCAUGACACUCACGCAAAUACAUGCACACACACAGCCUGCUAUCUGUUGAAGACCCCAGGAGAAUCUCAGAUGGUGUAGGUGGCCCUCUUGUGGAGGACUGGAAAACGAGGGGGUGGCAAAGAUUGCUAGGAAUGGGAGUUUUUGAGCUAGUAGUAUUUGUUUACUGUAGAUAAAUUAUUUUGUUUCUAGCUAUCUAUUCCCUUUGAAGUUCCUUUUAGAUAAAAUCUUUCUCACAGACCAACAACAAAACAGCCCAAAAGGGAAAGUCUUUCAAUGAAAAUCCAACCUUUGAACUAUUAACGGUCCCUGGCUUGGACUAGGAACACGUGUUGCCCUCAAGCUCACUACGCUACAUUCUGAUUAGCAAUGAUGAACGUUGGUUCAGGCAAGAUACAUUUUAGGGGGGCAGUUUACAUGGCGACUCUGCAACACGAAGACGCAAUGACUGUGUUGCGGAGUGGCCUCGCGUUCGUAUUGUUUCGGCGAAGACGGAAGGCAAAGACGCAAACCUUGGAAUCCUGCCUCCAAAGUGGAAGAAUUCGAUUGCGGGGGCAUGCAUAUCAAAAGCUCCCACGGCGUGGGACCGCGUCGAUAACGUCAACACUCGUACACGUCACACUGGGCGUGCGCAUUGGUGCUACUAAACAUUAAAAACAGCAAAUAUGGCGGAACGUAGGCUUUAAUUUACUGGGACCAUCUGAAUGAUGCAGAGGGAUCAUGGGAGAAAGUCAUGUGGUCAGAUGAGACCAAAGUCGAACUUUUAGGUACAAACUUUACUCGUUGUGUUUGGAGGAAAAAGAAGAAGGAGUACAACCCCAAGAACACCAUCCCCACUGUGAAGUCUAGGGGUGGAAACCUCUUGCUUUGGGGCUGCUUUUUGGCAAAGGAGACAAGACGACCGUACUGUAUAAAGCAGAGGAUGAAUGGUGAAAUGCAUCAUCAGAUUUUGAGCCACAACCUCCUUCCUUCAGUCGGAAAGAUGAGUCGUGGCUAAAUCUUCCAACAUGACAAUGAUCCAAAGCACACAGCCAAGCUGACCAAGGAGUGGCUGCCUAAAAAGCAUAUCAAGGUUCUGGAGUGGCCUAGUCAGUCUCCAGACCUCAAUCCAAUAGAAAUCUUUGAAUGGAGCCGAAACUUUGUGUUACUCAACCACAGCCCCGAAACCUG